rnacentral:rRNA from 1 species
GCGGUAAUUCCAGCUCUGUAAGCGUAUACCAAAGUUGUUGCAGUUAAAACGCUCGUAGUCGGAUUUUGGCGUGGCCCGUGCUGUGCGCGUAAUGCGUGCGGCGCUGGGGCGCGCUUUUGUGGAGGGCGGCGCGUUGUGGCUUUACUGUCGCGGCGUGUCGGCGCCACCGUUUACUGUGAAAAAAUUAGAGUGUUCAAAGCAGGCGUUUGCCGUGAAUACAUUAGCAUGGAAUAAUAGAAUAGGACUUGGUUUCUAUUUUGUUGGUUUGUGAGAGCCGAGUAAUGAUUAAGAGGGCCGGUUGGGGGCAUUUGUAUUCCAGCGUCAGAGGUGAAAUUCUUGGAUUGCUGGAAGACAAACCGCUGCGAAAGCGUCUGCCAAGGACGAUUUCAUUGAUCAAGAACGAAAGUAAGGGGAUCGAAGACGAUCAGAUACCGUCGUAGUCUUUACUAUAAACGAUGAGAACUGGGGAUCGGGCAGGCAUUACGAUGACCUGUCCGGAACCCUCCGGGAAACCAAAGUGUUUGCUUUCUGGGGGGAGUAUGGUCGCAAGGCUGAAACUUAAAGGAAUUGACGGAAGGGCAUCACCGGGUGUGGAGCCUGCNNNUNAAUUUGACUCAACACGGGA